rnacentral:rRNA from 1 species
GGUUAAGCGACUAAGCGUACACGGUGGAUGCCUAGGCAGUCAGAGGCGAUGAAGGACGUGCUAAUCUGCGAUAAGCGCCGGUGAGGUGAUAUGAACCGUUAUAGCCGGCGAUGUCCGAAUGGGGAAACCGG